rnacentral:rRNA from 1 species
GACGAACGCUGGCGGCGUGCUUAACACAUGCAAGUCGAACGGAAAGGCCCUGCUUUUGUGGGGUGCUCGAGUGGCGAACGGGUGAGUAACACGUGAGUAACCUGCCCUUGACUUUGGGAUAACUUCAGGAAACUGGGGCUAAUACCCGAGAGGAGCUCCUGCUGCAUGGGGGGGGUUGGAAAGUUUCGGCGGUUGGGGAUGGACUCGCGGCUUAUCAGCUUGUUGGUGGGGUAGUGGCUUACCAAGGCUUUGACGGGUAGCCGGCCUGAGAGGGUGACCGGCGACCUUGGGACUGCGAUACGGCCCAGACUCGUACGGGCGGCAGCAGUGGGGAAUAUUGCACAAUGGGCGGAAGUCUGAUGCAGCAACGCCGCGUGCGUGAUGACGGCCUUCGGGUUGUAAACCGCUUUCGCCUGUGACGAGGCGUGAGUGACGGUAAUGGGUAAAGAAGCACCGGCUAACUACGUG